AUGACCUGCUCCCCUCUCCUCCUCACCCUUCUCAUUCACUGCACAGGGUCCUGGGCCCAGUCUGUGUUGACGCAGCCGCCCUCAGUGUCUGCGGCCCCAGGACAGAAGGUCACCAUCUCCUGCUCUGGAAGCAGCUCCAACAUUGGGAAUAAUUAUGUAUCCUGGUACCAGCAGCUCCCAGGAACAGCCCCCAAACUCCUCAUUUAUGACAAUAAUAAGCGACCCUCAGGGAUUCCUGACCGAUUCUCUGGCUCCAAGUCUGGCACGUCAGCCACCCUGGGCAUCACCGGACUCCAGACUGGGGACGAGGCCGAUUAUUACUGCGGAACAUGGGAUAGCAGCCUGAGUGCUGG